rnacentral:rRNA from 1 species
GACGAACCGUGCGAACGUUAUUCGGAAUCACUGGGCUUAAAGCGCGUGUAGGCGGGCCGGCACGUCGGAUGUUGAAAUGCCCCGGCUUAACCGGGCACUGGCAGCGAUACGACCGGCCUGGAGGGGAGUAGGGGGGGGGUCGGGAACUUCCGGUGGAGCGGUGAAAUGCGUUGAGAUCGGAAGGAACGCCCGUGGCGAAAGCGCGGCCCUGGACUCUUUCUGACGCUGAGACGCGAAAGCUAGGGGAGCGAACGGG